rnacentral:rRNA from 1 species
UGGGGAAUUUUGCACAAUGGAGGAAACUCUGAUGCAGCGACGCCGCGUGAGUGAUGAAGAUCUUCGGAUUGUAAAACUCUGUCCUUAGUGAAGAUAAUGACAGUAACUAAGAAGCAAGCCCUGGCUAAAUACGUGCCAGCAGCCGCGGUAAUACGUAUGGGGCAAGCGUUGUCCGGAAUUAUUGGGCGUAAAGGGUACGUAGGCGGUUUAAUAAGUCCUAAUUAAAAGGCUAUGGCUCAACCAUAGUAUGGUUAGGAAACUGUUGAACUUGAGUAGAUGAGGGGAAAGGGGAAUUCCAUGUGUAGCGGUGAAAAGCGUAGAAAUAUGGAGGAACACCAAUGGCGAAGGCAACUUUCUGGAAUCAAAAUGACGCUGAGGUACGAAGGCGUGGGGAGCAAACAGG